AGAGUUUGAUCCUGGCUCAGAACGAACGCUGGCGGCGUGGAUAAGACAUGCAAGUCGAACGAUGGCUGCAGGGUAGCAAUAUUCUGUAGUCGGAGUGGCGUAAGGGUGCGUAACACGUGGGUAAUCUGCCGUGAAGUUGGGGAUAACCCCGAGAAAUCGGGGCUAAUACCGAAUGUGGUUGCUGGGAGGCAUCUUCUGGCAACCAAAGCUGGGGACCGUAAGGCCUGGCGCUUCACGAUGAGCCCGCGGCCUAUCAGCUAGUUGGCGGGGUAACGGCCCACCAAGGCUAAGACGGGUAGCUGGUCUGAGAGGACGACCAGCCACACUGGAACUGAGACACGGUCCAGACACCUACGGGUGGCAGCAGUCGAGAAUUUUUCACAAUGGGCGCAAGCCUGAUGGAGCGACGCCGCGUGGGGGAUGAAGGGCUUCGGUCCGUAAACCCCUGUCAUUUGCGAACAAGGCGUCUGACCUAACACGUCAGACGUUGAUAGUAGCGAAAGAGGAAGGGACGGCUAACUCUGUGCCAGCAGCCGCGGUAAUACAGAGGUCCCAAGCGUUGUUCGGAUUCACUGGGCGUAAAGGGUGCGUAGGUGGCGGGGUAAGUUCGGUGUGAAAGCUUCGAGCUCAACUCGGAAAUGGCAUUGAAUACUAUCCUGCUCGAGGGUCGGAGGGGAGACUGGAAUUCUCGGUGUAGCAGUGAAAUGCGUAGAUAUCGAGAGGAACACCAGUGGCGAAGGCGAGUCUCUGGACGACUC
rnacentral:rRNA from 1 species